GCUGCCCCGGGAGCCUUGGGUCCUAUUGGAGCAGAGGGGGGAUGCAGAGGGAGGAGGCAAGGGAGGGGGAGAAAGGGGAGGAGGAUGGAGCCCUCCGCCUGAUCGGGUAGCGGGAGUAAGAAUCAGCAGCCCGGGCAAAGAGUACGAACAGGAGUCAGAGGCAGAGCGGGGGUGUGUGGAGGGCCGGCGGGGACCGCCGGGAGCGCGCGGAUGUCGGUGUUCCUGGGUCCAGGGAUGCCCUCUGCAUCUUUAUUAGUAAAUCUUCUUUCAGCUUUACUCAUCCUCUUUGUGUUUGGAGAAACAGAAAUAAGAUUUACUGGACAAACUGAAUUUGUUGUUAAUGAAACAAGUACGACAGUUAUUCGUCUUAUCAUUGAAAGGAUAGGAGAGCCAGCAAAUGUUACUGCAAUUGUAUCGCUGUAUGGAGAGGACGCUGGUGACUUUUUUGACACAUAUGCUGCAGCUUUUAUACCUGCUGGAGAAACAAACAGAACAGUGUACAUAGCAGUAUGUGAUGAUGACUUACCAGAGCCUGACGAAACUUUUAUUUUUCACUUAACAUUACAGAAACCUUCAGCAAAUGUGAAGCUCGGAUGGCCAAGGACUGUUUCUGUGACAAUAUUAUCAAAUGACAAUGCAUUUGGAAUUAUUUCAUUUAAUAUGCUUCCCUCAAUCACAGUGAGUGAGCCCAAGGGCAGAAAUGAGUCUGUGCCUCUUACUCUCAUCAGGGAAAAGGGAACCUAUGGAAUGGUCAUGGUGACUUUUGAGGUAGAGGGUGGCCCAAAUCCCCCUGAUGAAGAUUUGAGUCCAGUUAAAGGAAAUAUCACCUUUCCCCCUGGCAGAGCAACAGUAAUUUAUAACUUGACAGUACUCGAUGAUGAGGUUGGCUAAUGUUACAUACCCAAAUGGGACAAGGAUUCUAUGUUGCAGGACACAGUCCUAUAUAAACUUAGUGUAUUGUGGCCAGUCAUACCUCAGCUAUAAAUAGCUGACUGUUUUGGAAUGCAUCUUAUUAUUAUUUAUCUUACUUAACUCACAUUAAAUUGCACAUCUAAAAGCUGAUGAAUCUGAAUAUAACUGGCAACCAUACAUCAUACAAAUAUUUAAGCAUUUUGUAUACCCUGGUAAUCAAUUUUUGUUAGUGCUUUCAAUUUUGAGCAAGAACAAUACUAACCUAGAGUAAAUAUUUUACCAUAAAAUCAAAGAAAAAUUCUACUGCAGUUGAUAUUCUUUUGUUUGGAUAUUUUUAAUGUUCACAUUUAUAGGAAGGUUUUUAUUAUUUUUAUAUUUCACAUUGAAACUACCAAGGAUAGAGAUACAUGAUACAGCUAGCUUAAUUGCUAAGAAAAGAAUGAAUCUGAACAAUAAUGUGCAAGGAUGUCCCCCACAUGAGUUAAACAAGAGAAAACAUGACUUUUUAUAAAAGAAACUAAGUUUUGCCAGAAAAGAAAACAAAAAGAAAAUAGCUGGGAAUUUUUAACCCUCCCUCUACCGUCCUACAAAAAUUCUGAAACUAAAUCACAAGAAACCUCAAGAGAAGGGAAAAAGUGUAUUAGAGUAUUAGAAGACAUUAUUAGAAAAGAAUUUUUCUCUUGAAAAAAAAUGAAAUAUUUGGAAGCAUUGAUAUCUCCAGUUCCUCUGGUUCUGGAAGCAAGCAAAAAAACCUUUUUGUUUUAAGAUCUCAGAGCAUUGAAUGGGCUAUAAUUUGGGGAGAUGAUUAAUUAUACAUUUUGAUUGCAAAUUUGAAAGAUCAAUCAAAUCAUAACAUUUUAUUUUUAAGAUAAUAGCUUUGCUUUUUAUAUUGCUACUGAUGGAGGUAAAAGCAUGCAUUUUUUUCACUUUUAUUUCUAAAAUAGAGUUUAUGGUGAAUGAAAAGCUCACACAGCACAGUGGAGAGAAAUCCCAAGAUUUCUCUGCAGC
rnacentral:sRNA from 1 species